rnacentral:misc_RNA from 1 species
UGAAUUUUAGUUGUAAUAUCCGGAAGAUGUCGCCCUUGUUCCUCUUUCAUCCUUUUCUUUUUUAAUUCAUCAUAACAUUAAGUAUUAACAAAUAACAAUUGAGCACUUUGGUACUUUUUAUAAUAUAUUCUGUGAUCAAGACGGGCACAGAAUACAUCCUGGAGCCUUCUAAUCGGAUGGUAAUGAGGAUGGAUCGAGGGGACAAGCGUGGAUUAUGAUGGAGACUCGCCCAACGAGACGGUCUUUUUCGAGAGAGUUUAAGUUGAAGGUCGUAAAAUACUUUUACGAACAUCAACACAAUAAUUUAGUCACUGCCAAUCACUUUAAUAUAAAUCGAAAACAGGUUCGUUGUUGGGUGCGAGACGAAUGGAAGUUCCACGAGCAUUUAAGUCAAAGCCGCUCAAUCCCAAAUCCAACACCAUCUUCGUCAUCCAUCAUCCAUUGCUCAUCCUCUCCUAGUCCCAUUUACUCAAAAAUGGAACUCAAGCUUUUCCAAGAGUUUUGUGAUGCUGAAGUGUGUGGAAUUCCCGUCAAGAAAAGUUGGUUUCUCUCUCGAGGAAAUGAAAUUCUUAAAGAGUUGGAGCCUGGCAACGAUUCUUACCAGCAACUCUCCUCCAAUUGGUUCAUUAACUUUAAAAAGAGAUUUCACAUCUAUUUUAAAAAAGAUCCAGACUACACAAAACUCCUUCCUCCAAGCGAGGGAGACAUUGCAUUGCUCAACAACAUUCCUUUAUCCUUUUUACCCCCAAGUGAGAAGGCUUCGGUUCAAUUGACUGUGUUUUUGGAUGGAAUAAGUCGUGUUCGGCCUCUUCUCCUUUUUUCAGCUCAAGAUCCUCCCAUUGUCAUGGAAGAAAGAGAUUCAUAUGAUCCCCGCACACGUGUUCAUGUUUCAGCAAUUUGCUGAAACGGAUGAAGAAAUACUAAAAGAAUGGAUUGAUUCCGAGUGGGAGUCCUCUAUGGACUUUUUUAGUGGGAGUAAAAAAGUAAUUUUCUCGGAUCUUCCUCACUCACGGCUUACCCGAUCCGCUAAACAAAGUUUAAAGUCAUCAUAUUCGUACCUAAAGGAAGUUCCAGAGGGUUGCAUUUCUAGUUUAUUUAUAUUUAAUGAAAUUAUUAGAAAACCUUUUCUAAUCAAGAUGAAGCAGGCAUAUUCCAUAAGAAGCGCUGAAGGCUCUUCCUCAAGUCUCAAAGAUAGGGAGGAAAGGGUUUAUUUGUCAAAGUGCAUCGGCGACGUCUGGGAAUCUAUAUCUAGUGAUGCAGAAGAAAUUAAGAAAAGUUUUUCAAAGUACACUGUCCUCUUACAUUUAGGAACAUCAAUGGGCAGGAAGAAAGAGGAAUGGGAUCCUGCGGACUUGGUUUCUAGUCUUGAUCUAGAAGAUGAAGUGGAUGAGGACGGGGAAGGAGAAUAUUUUAUUGACUGUGAUCCAGUGUGAAGUCCUGCAGUUAUCUUUGACUUUUAAAAACUAUAUACACACCAUAUAUUUGUACAUACAGUGAGUGGUAUCUAUGUACAGUUGUGUUCAAAAUAGACAUACAUAUGUAAGUAAUGAGGCCAGAAAUGUGUUACGUUUCAUACUUGGAGGUACUAUUCUAUAUAUAUACAUAUAUAUGGUUUUUAAGUUGUCAAAGUGAGAGUUACCUUUCCAUUUUUUUAAAUGUUCUAUAUUUAUCAUCGAUUUCCGUGUUUCAAGUUUAGUUUAGUAUAAUUACUGUUGUUAUUUUUAGUCAGUGUCUACGUCACUUAUGUUUGUCUUUCCCUCUAAAUUUUAUAAGAUACAUACAAAUGUACUUCAAGUACCAAUAUAUCAGGUACUUGGUUGAUCAAGAGGCUGUGAAUGAAUUAUUACGAUUAUAUGGAUUCUUGUCAAUAUAUAUAUUAUAAAGUUAUUUCAUUUUUAAUUUGCCCAUUUUUAUAUCUAUUUAUUCAGUGGCAAGAAUAAUUAUUAAAUAAAUCUAUCUGUAGCUA